rnacentral:rRNA from 1 species
CGGCAACAGCUCAAAUUUGAAAUCUGGCUCUUUCAGGGUCCGAGUUGUAAUUUGUAGAAGAUGCUUCGGGUGUGGCUCCGGUCUAAGUCCCUUGGAACAGGGCGUCGUAGAGGGUGAGAAUCCCGUCUUUGACACGGACCCCCGGUGCUGUGUGAUGCGCUCUCGAA